UGGCAGGGCAGACCUACCGUCCUGUAUCAUGCUUCUCUUUAAAUUCUGAUUGUAAAAGUACGUGUGUUUGGCCAAGCGGCAGCAGCUGCCAUGCCUGCUCACUACGCCUAUCUCAUAACAUUACCUUUAGGACUCCUUAGCUUUACUGUCCGUCCCAUGGCAGUGCACAGGCAUGGCCUGACAACUCUCCCCAGGCACAGCCAUGUGUGGCCUCGCUCUGUCCACAGCAAGGCUCCAAAUUGCAUUUGGCCAGAUGCUGCGGUCACCCAGAGAGGUGGAAGCGGAGCUCACUUUGAACACUCGCACUGGGAACAACAAACUCAGUUUCAGCUCCAGUCCCAAAAGCAUUGCUCUGGAAUCUUAAACACAUCUUCCCAUGGACACUUGCACAUCCUGGGCAACAGCAGGCCUCUUCUCACAGCUCUGUGUUGUUUACGGCAUUCCCCGCUAAUGCUGACUUGCUGCCAGCCCCACAGGCAGGCACUUCCUGAAAGACUGACCCAAACCAGGCUGCUGUCAGAGGACAACCCAGCCUCUACAGAGAGCCAGGCAGCCCAGGACUCAAGGCAGCUUUUCCUGUCUUCUGUAAAUUGGACUGGUUAAACAAAUCACACCAAUAAUUGUGCUGACAAUCCAGCAUGAAUACCAGCUUGGGCUCUCCUCAGGAGAGGCCUACCGCUUCAGAUAUUUCCCUCCUGCAUUUCUGGGUUCAGGAAAGCAAUAGACAAAUAGUGGAGUGAAUAGAGCAUGGUGUGGUUCAUAGCCUGGAAUAGAUGCUAAAAAAAGCACUGCAGGAAUGGACUGCAGAUCUGCAAAUAUCAGUGACUUAAAGAGAAAACUACAUGUUGAGCUGGUAUUCACUUUCUGAUUAUGUCGCUCAGCUGGAAAGAGGGGAGUUAAGCUUUGCCUGUUUCUGAAAUACCACCCAGCAUCAUGGGUUAGCCUCACUUCUGGACUUGUCGAAGCUGACUGGAAGGGCAAAAUGGUGAAUGUGUUUGUGUGUAAGAUGGUCUUUGUUUUCUCUCUCUCUUUCACUUUUUUUUUCUUUUUCUUUUUUCUUUUUUUACUUUUUUUUGAAGCUGAGCAAUCUACAGCAGGAAGUCUACAAAGGAGCACACCAGAACUACAAUCACAAAAAGACUGACCCAAGGAGCACACAGGUAGGAGGAUCUCUAACAGCUCACUGAUAGGUAAGCACCAACAAACAGUACUACAUAAACACAAGCUUACGCACUGUUACACUUCCAAAAUGCAAACUUAUUUGUCAGAAGUUAUAAUGAGCUAUACAAAAUAUACAUAAAGUUACACUGUAAACAAAUAACUAGAUGUGCUUUAAAGGAAACAAGAGGAUAGUUUAAAAAUGCAGAAGACUGUAAACUAGGAAAUACCUCCCAGACAGAAAUGUUAUAUCGAAGUGCAUUAGCAUUCGUUUGUAUUAAUUGCCAAAGCACAGGUGAACUGUAAAUGUUGAGACCAUUUUCUCUUCAAAGCUGCUCAAAAUUACUACCCAUUGCUAACCAGCUCCUCUGUGAAUGCAUAAAAGGCAGCACGAAUAUUCUGGUGCAUCAUAAAAAAAAAUUACACUGUAGUUUGCGAUUUCACCUUUCCAUAGCAAGUCUGCUGUAAUCCAACUUAACUAGUGUAAUAAAGCGUCUCCCAGGAGGAAAUGAAUUCUGCACACUGUCAGUUGUCACACAAACCUCUAAGUCAAGAUUAUACUGUGCUUUUAAGAACAAGUUUCUAGCUUUUGAGACAGAAAGACAAUCUGUAAGCCUCAACGAAACAGCUAGGGGCCUAGCUCUAGUUUAGCUACAUGAACAGAAACAAGCAAACCCCCACUCUGUUGAUCCCAAACACUUAAAAACACGCAUCAACAAGCAUAUUCUGUAGUGCUCUUGCACAUGUUUCAAAUUCUAUCUUUCAUCCUUCAAAGCUGAAUACCUCCACACUAAAAUGAUCAAAAUCUACAUGUUCCACAGUAUACAAAAUUUAAAUAAGGCUUAGCAAAAGUAAAAGGACAGUCACAGUCUAGCACCAAAUAGCUCCAACAGGUUCAUUUGUUACACAAUGUUUCUUUUAUAAUUACAUUUACUUUUUUUUGCAUAUAAAUAAAAAGAUUAUGUUAUGAAAUGUAUGGAGCUACUCAAUGCAUUUAGAAAUGAACAUGAAAUCAAGAAUUACUUGCUAAAAAAAGCAAGUUAAAGUCUACAACAUAAGGCCCCAGCUAUGCAUUAAAAUGUAUCUGAUGUCCUAAAAUUUUUUAUGACAAUGGAACUGCUUUUUUUUUUUCUUUCCUUUUU